rnacentral:rRNA from 1 species
GCUUACGGCCAUACCAACCUGGCUAUGCCCCGAUCUCGUCUGAUCUCGGGAAGCUAAGCAGGUUUGGGCCUGGUUAGUACUUGGAUGGGAGAAGCCUGGGAAUACCAGGUGCUGUAAGCU